UCGAGGAUCUUCGUCAAUGGGCGCAAGCCUGAACGAGCGAUGCCGCGUGAGCGAUGAAGGCCUUCGGGUUGUAAAGCUCAAAAGAAGCGAGAAAGGGAAACUUGAUCAAGCUUCAGUAAGCUCGGGCUAAGUUCGUGCCAGCAGCCGCGGUAAGACGAACCGAGCGAACGUUGUUCGGAAUCACUGGGCUUAAAGGGCGCGUAGGCGGGUGCUCAAGUCCGGGGUGAAAUCCUCCAGCUCAACUGGAGAACUGCCUCGGAUACUGGGGGUCUCGAGGGUGGUAGGGGUAUGCGGAACUAUCGGUUGAGCGGUGAAAUGCGUUGAUAUCGAUAGGAACUCCGGUGGCGAAGGCGGCAUACUGGACCACUUCUGACGCUGAGGCGCGAAAGCCAGGGGAGCGAACGG
rnacentral:rRNA from 1 species